rnacentral:SRP_RNA from 1 species
GCCAGGCGCAGUGGCGCAUGCCUGUAGUCCCAGCUACUCGGAAGGCUGAGGUGGGAGAAUCCCUUGAGCCCAGGAGUUCUGGGCUGUAGUGUGCUAUGCCAAUUGGGUGUCCGCUCUAAGUUCAGCAUCAAUAUGGUGACCUCCCGGAAGCAGGGAACCACCAGGUUGCCUAAGGAGGGGUGAACUGGCCCAGGUGGGAAACAGAGCAGGUCAAAACUGCUGUGCUGAUCAGUAGUGGGAUCAUGCCUGUGAAUAGCCACUGCACUCCAGCCUGGGCAACAUAGCAAGACCUCAUCUCUU